UGGGGAAUUUUGGACAAUGGGGGCAACCCUGAUCCAGCAACGCCGCGUGAAUGAAGAAGGCCUUAGGGUUGUAAAGUUCUUUUAUCUGAGAGCAAAGACUAAUGGUUAAUAGCUAUUGGGGAUGAGAGUAUCAGAAGAAUAAGCACCGGCUAACUACGUGCCAGCAGCCGCGGUAAUACGUAGGGUGCGAGCGUUAAUCGGAAUUACUGGGCGUAAAGGGUGCGCAGGCGGAUAUAUAAGUUAGAUGUGAAAUACCCGAGCUUAACUUGGGAACAGCAUUUAAGACUGUAUAUCUAGAGUUUGUCAGAGGGGGGUAGAAUUCCAAGUGUAGCAGUGAAAUGCGUAGAGAUUUGGAGGAAUACCGGUGGCGAAGGCGGCCCCCUGGGAUAGAACUGACGCUCAGGCACGAAAGCGUGGGUAGCAAACAGG
rnacentral:rRNA from 1 species